rnacentral:snRNA from 1 species
GGAUGUGAGGGCGAUCUGGCUGCGACAUCUGUCACCCCAUUGAUCGCCAGGGUUGAUUCGGCUGCUCUAGCUGGCUAAGCGGGUGUCCCCUUCCUCCCUCACCGCUCCCAUGUGUGUCCCUCCGAAAGCUGCGCGCUUGGUCAAAGAGGACGAGCAUCCCAGAUAGAAGAGGACGGUUCUUCGGUCAAGGGUAUACGAGUAGCUGCGCUCCCCUGCUAGAACCUCCAAACAAGCUCUCACAUGUGCAAGUGGAACUAUGGGAGUUGUAAGACCCCAUGAAACCUACGGAAAUCACUGAUCACAG